rnacentral:rRNA from 1 species
CCUACGGGAGGCAGCAGUGAGGAAUAUUGGUCAAUGGGCGGAAGCCUGAACCAGCCAAGUCGCGUGAGGGAAUAAGGCCCUACGGGUCGUAAACCUCUUUUGCCGGGGAGCAAGGGCCGGGACGCGUCCCGGCCCGGAGAGUACCCGGAGAAAAAGCAUCGGCUAACUCCGUGCCAGCAGCCGCGGUAAUACGGAGGAUGCGGGCGUUUUCCGGAUUUUUUGGGUUUAAGGGGUGCGUAGGCGGGCUUUUAAGUCAACGGGAAAAAGUCGGGGCUCAAUCCGGUCCGGCCGUUGAAACUGGGGGCCUUGAGUGGGCGAGAGGAAGGCGGAAUGCGUGGUGUAGCGGUGAAAUGCAUAGAUAUCACACAGAACCCCGAUUGCGAAGGCAGCCUUCCAGCGCCCUACUGACGCUGAGGCACGAAAGUGCGGGGAUCGAACAGGAUUAGAUACCCUAGUAGUC